AGUCACUGACAUUAGAUACCCCGGUAGUCCAGGGUGUAAACGCUGCGGGCUUGGUGUUGGGGGUCCUUUGAGGGCGCCCAGUGCCGGAGAGAAGUUGUUAAGCCUGCUGCUUGGGGAGUACGUCCGCAAGGAUGAAACUUAAAGGAAUUGGCGGGGGAGCACCGCAACGGGAGGAGCGUGCGGUUCAAUUGGAUUCAACGCCGGACAACUCACCAGGAGCGACGGUUACAUGAAGGCCAGGCUGAUGACCUUGCCUGAUUUUCCG
rnacentral:rRNA from 1 species